rnacentral:rRNA from 1 species
UGUACGGUAUCAGUUUGUUGGUGAGGUAAUGGCUCACCAAGACUAUGACGCCUAACUGGUUUGAGAGGAUGAUCAGUCACACUGGAACUGAGACACGGUCCAGACUCCUACGGGAGGCAGCAGUGGGGAAUAUUGCACAAUGGAGGAAACUCUGAUGCAGCAACGCCGCGUGGAGGAUGACACAUUUCGGUGCGUAAACUCCUUUUAUUAGGGAAGAUAAUGACGGUACCUAAUGAAUAAGCACCGGCUAACUCCGUGCCAGCAGCCGCGGUAAUACGGGGGGUGCAAGCGUUACUCGGAAUCACUGGGCGUAAAGAGCAUGUAGGCUGGUUUGUAAGUUGGAAGUGAAAUCCUAUGGCUUAACCAUAGAACUGCUUCCAAAACUGCAGACCUAGAGUAUGGGAGAGGUAGAUGGAAUUUCUGGUGUAGGGGUAAAAUCCGUAGAGAUCAGAAGGAAUACCGAUUGCGAAGGCGAUCUACUGGAACAUUACUGACGCUGAGAUGCGAAAGCGUGGGGAGCAAACAGGAUUAGAUACCCUGGUAGUCCACGCCCUAAACGAUGCACACUAGUUGUUGCUAUGCUAGACAUAGCAGUAAUGCAGUUAACACAGUAAGUGUGCCGCCUGGGGAGUACGGUCGCAAGAUUAAAACUCAAAGGAAUAGACGGGGACCCGCACAAGCGGUGGAGCAUGUGGUUUAAUUCGACGAUACGCGAAGAACCUUACCUGGCCUUGACAUAGAGAGAACUUACUAGAGAUAGUUUGGUGCUAGUUUACUAGAACUCUUAUACAGGUGCUGCACGGCUGUCGUCAGCUCGUGUCGUGAGAUGUUGGGUUAAGUCCCGCAACGAGCGCAACCCUCGUGUUUAGUUACUAACAGUUCGGCUGAGGACUCUAGACAGACUGCCUGGGUAACCAGGAGGAAGGUGAGGACGACGUCAAGUCAUCAUGGCCCUUACGGCCAGGGCUACACACGUGCUACAAUGGGGUAUACAAAGAGCCGCGAUACCGUGAGGUGGAGCAAAUCUCAUAAAAUAUCUCCCAGUUCGGAUAGUAGUCUGCAACUCGACUACUUGAAGUUGGAAUCGCUAGUAAUCGUAGAUCAGCAAUGCUACGGUGAAUACGUUCCCGGGUCUUGUACUCACCGCCC